rnacentral:rRNA from 1 species
UACGGAGGGUGCGAGCGUUAUCCGGAAUUACUGGGCGUAAAGCGUGCGCAGGCGGUUCGUUAAGUUCGUUGUGAAAGCCCCGGGCUCAACCUGGGAAUGGCAAUGGAAACUGGCGGGCUUGGAGUGCGGCAGAGGGGGGUGGAAUUCCGCGUGUAGCAGUGAAAUGCGUAGAGAUGCGGAGGAACACCGAUGGCGAAGGCAGCCCCCUGGGCCGACACUGACGCUCAGGCACGAAAGCGUGGGGAGCAAACAGG